AAAUUAAUUAAUUUAAAAAAAAAAGGCCAGGCACGGUGGCUCACACCUGUAAUUCCAGCACUUUGGGAGGCCGAGGCGGGAGAUCACAAGGUCAGGAGAUCGAGACCAUCCUGACUAACACAGUGAAACCCCGUCUCUACUAAAAAUACAAAAAAAUUAGGCAGGCGUGGUGGUGUACGUCUGUAGUUCCAGCUGCUGAGGAGGCUGAGGCAGGAGAAUGGCGUGAACCCGGGAGGCGGAGCUUGCAGUGAGCCGAGAUCGCGCCACUGCACUCCAGCCUGGGCAACAGAGCAAGACUCCAUCUCAAAAAAGAAAAAGUAGGAGAAAAGGAGGCGGGCUGCAUUGACCCUGUCAGGGAGCUCGCAGCCAUUGAGGCUGCCAAUCCUUGGGUGCUCUGGUGUGGGUGUGGACACAAGGACCCUACCCAGCGCACAGCCCUCUGACCUCCUCUGCUCACUUGCCCCAGUGUCCCCAGUUGUCCUCAUCCAGGGUGCUAUUCGAGUCCAGCCUGAAGGGCCGGCUCCCUCUCUACCACGGCCUGAGAGGAAGAGCAUCGUUCCUGCUCCUAUGCCUGGAAACUCCUGCCCGCCUGAAGUGGAUGCAAAGCUGCUGAAGCGGCAGCAGCGAAUGAUCAAGAACCGGGAGUCAGCCUGCCAGUCCCGGAGAAAGAAGAAAGAGUAUCUGCAGGGACUGGAGGCUCGGCUGCAGGCAGUACUGGCUGACAACCAGCAGCUCCGCCGGGAGAAUGCUGCCCUCCGGCGGCGGCUGGAGGCCCUGCUGGCUGAAAACAGCGAGCUCAAGUUAGGAUCUGGAAACAGGAAG
rnacentral:sRNA from 1 species